AGUAAUGUAUCGGAACGACCUUUCAGUGGGGAGUAACGUAGCGAAGUUACGCUAAUACCGCAUAUUCUGUGAGCAGGAAGCAGGGGAUCGCAAGACCUUGCGCUGAUUGAGCGGCCGAUAUCAGAUUAGCUAGUUGGUGAGGUAAAGGCUCACCAAGGCGACGAUCUGUAGCGGGUCUGAGAGGAUGAUCCGCCACGCUGGAACUGAGACACGGUCCAGACUCCUACGGGAGGCAGCAGUGGGGAAUUUUGGACAAUGGGGGCAACCCUGAUCCAGCCAUGCCGCGUGAGUGAAGAAGGCCUUCGGGUUGUAAAGCUCUUUCGGCCGGGAAGAAAUCGUAUGGGUUAAUACCCUGUGCGGAUGACGGUACCGGCAUAAGAAGCACCGGCUAACUACGUG
rnacentral:rRNA from 1 species